rnacentral:rRNA from 1 species
GCUUUCGGGCUGAGUAGAGCGGCGGACGGGUGAGUAACGCGUAGGAAUCUACCUGGUAGUGGGGGACAACUUGGGGAAACUCAAGCUAAUACCGCAUACGCCCUAAGGGGGAAAGCGGGGGACCUUCGGGCCUCGCGCUAUCGGAUGAGCCUGCGUAGGAUUAGCUAGUUGGUGGGGUAAAGGCCCACCAAGGCGACGAUCCUUAGCUGGUCUGAGAGGAUGAUCAGCCACACUGGAACUGAGACACGGUCCAGACUCCUACGGGAGGCAGCAGUGGGGAAUAUUGCGCAAUGGGCGAAAGCCUGACGCAGCCAUGCCGCGUGUGUGAAGAAGGCCUUAGGGUUGUAAAGCACUUUCAAUUGGGAAGAAAAGUUUGUCGUUAAUAGCGCCAAGCUCUGACAUUACCUUUAGAAGAAGCACCGGCUAACUCCGUGCCAGCAGCCGCGGUAAUACGGAGGGUGCGAGCGUUAAUCGGAAUUACUGGGCGUAAAGCGCGCGUAGGCGGUUUGUUAAGUCAGCUGCGAAAGCCCCGGGCUCAACCUG